rnacentral:rRNA from 1 species
CUUCGGGGACAUUGGUGACAGGUGGUGCAUGGUUGUCGUCAGCUCGUGUCGUGAGAUGUUGGGUUAAGUCCCGCAACGAGCGCAACCCUUGUCUUUAGUUGCCAUCAUUAAGUUGGGCACUCUAGAGGGACUGCCAGGGAUAACCUGGAGGAAGGUGGGGAUGACGUCAAAUCAUCAUGCCCCUUAUGCUUAGGGCUACACACGUGCUACAAUGGGUAGUACAGAGGGUUGC